rnacentral:rRNA from 1 species
AAAUCAGUUAUGGUUCACUAGAUCGUAUUACAUACACGGAUAACUGUGGUAAUUCUAGAGCUAAUACGUGCAAACAGCUCGUUCCCUCGUGGAGCGAGCGCAGUUAUUAGAACAAAACCAAUCCGGCCUUCGGGUCGGUUAAAAUGGUGACUCUGAAUAACCGAAGCGGAGCGUAUGGUCUCGUACCGACCCCAGAUCUUUCAAGUGACUGCUCUAUCAGCUUGUUGCUAGGUUAUGCUCCUAGCAAGGCUUCAACGGGUAACGGGGUAUCAGGGUCUGAUACCGGAGAGGGAGCCUGAGAAACGGCUACCACAUCCAAGGAAGGCAGCAGGCGCGCAAAUUACCCACUCCCAGCACGGGGAGGUAGUGACGAAAAAUAACGAUGCGAGGGCUUAUUGCUUCUCGUAAUCGGAAUGGGUACACUUUAAAUCCUUUAACGAGGAUCUAUUGGAGGGCAAGUCUGGUGCCAGCAGCCGCGGUAAUUCCAGCUCCAAUAGCGUAUAUUAAAGUUGCUGCGGUUAAAAAGCUCGUAGUUGGAUCUGGGCAGUUGGAUGGGUGGUGCGCUUUACGCGCUACUGCUCGUUCGGCGCCACAAGCCGAUCUUGUCUUGCAUGCUCUUCACUGAGUGUGCUUGGCGAUCGGAACGUUUACUUUGAAAAAAUUAGAGUGCUCAAAGCAAGCGUAUGGCUUUGAAUAAUGGUGCAUGGAAUGAUGGAAUAGGACCUCGGUUCUAUUUUGUUGGUUAUCGGAGUCGAGGUAAUGAUUAAGAGGAACAGACGGGGACAUUCGUAUUCCGGCGUUAGAGGUGAAAUUCUUGGAUCGUCAGAAGACGAACUACU